rnacentral:rRNA from 1 species
AUACGUAGGUGACAAGCGUUAUCCGGAUUUACUGGGCGUAAAGAGCUCGUAGGUGGUUUGUCGCGUCGUCUGUGAAAUUCCGGGGCUUAACUCCGGGCGUGCAGGCGAUCCGGGCAUAACUUGAGUACUGUAGGGGAGACUGGACUUCCUGGUGUAGCGGUGAAAUGCGCAGAUAUCAGGAGGAACACCGGUGGCGAAGGGGGGUCUCUGGGCAGUAACUGACGCUGAGGAGCGAAAGCAUGGGUAGCGAACAGGAUUAGAUCCCCUGGUAGUCCAUGCCGUAAACGGUGGGCGCUAGGUGUAGGGGUCUUCCACGACUUCUGUGCCGUAGCUAACGCCUUAAGCGCCCCGCCUGGGGAGUACGGCCGCAAGGCUAAAACUCAAAGGAAUUGACGGGG